AACACAAUCUACAAAAAAACUUAGAUGAAACUGAAUGCAUUUGGAGAUCUUACUCUUACCGUAUUAGUUUUCAAAUCCCGAUUGACAUCCUCAUCCAAGAAUAAUUUAUUGCAUUUUAUGAGCUCUUCAAUACAUUGUUCAUGAACAAUCGCCCUACCCAUUUCUUGUAACAAGCUAUGCACCUCCAAGCAGUUAUUUGAUGAAAUUGAUAUGAGAGACUUAUCAAUCAAAACUCCGAUUCCAGCUGCACGAAAGCCACAUAUCUAGCAUUUCUUUUACAAUGUACACAUCUUUCCCUUGAUAGAAACAUGCUAUAUCAAGAAAUAUCUCCUUCUCAAUUUCUUUUAAUCCAUCGUAACUUGAUCUUCUCAGCACAUUCCAGAUCUUUUCUCUUGGAAAUUCUUUCCAUUCAUCCAGCCAAUCUUCUUUGCUCUCACAGUGAAGGAAUGAGGAACCCAAAAUUUUAAGAGCUAAUGGAAUGCCUCCAGCAUAUUCUACCACAAGUUUGGACAACUCGGGCCAAACAGAGCAGGAUCGCCAGCUAGAAAAAUUAAUUGGUUUGAAUCAUUUACAUCAUCAAGAACAAUGAGGAUCUUCGUACCUGCCAUCCUCUUUUUAACAAGAUCUGAUCCUAUAGUUGGAGUGCCGAUAUUUAUAUCUUUUUCCUUCAAUAUCUUUCUAAGAAGUGUGUUUCGCAAGUGAAUUAGUCCAUCUUUUUUUCUUAUUUCUCCCUAACAUUUCCAAGAAAACAAGACGAGAGUCGGUGAAACACAGAAUCAGCAAGGGCGGUCUUGCCAAUGCCACCCAUGCCCCAAAUACCUAGAGUGUAUACAUCAAGUGAAUCAAUGCAUAAUGAUGACUCAAUUUGGUCAAUGCGUUUUUCUAUUCCAACAAAGCCCUGUAAAACACUUGAAGAUUUUCGAUUCAAUUGGCUCCAAAUUUCAUUUGCAACUUUCUUAACUAAAUUGGCCUCCGUCCUGGCAAAUAUAUGAUGGACAACUAACAGUUGGUAAUAGGCAUUGUUAAUUAAUUCUGUAUGCAUUUAAUUUUCAUGAGUAGAAAUCACUAAAAGUUUUAGAAUUAGUUACCCUGUUUUGUUUGAGAAGCUAGAAAGAUUAGCUGCAGCCGUCAAAGCAGCCCUCCACGCGUUCACCUUGUCGAUAGUGCCCUUGAAACGUUUUUCAAGUUGAGCAAACGCAACUUCAUAACUCCCCUUUUGUAUUUGUACCGUUGAUGGACUAGUGCCGUAGAAAAUGGGUAUAACCAACUGGCCAUAUUUUUCCCUGCAGUGUAGUAUAUGUGCAAGUUCAUCCAAACACAAGUCAACGCCAAGACAUAUUGCGUUUACAUCAGCAAAAGGAUCAGAAGAUUGAAGUCAUGUAAGCCGAUCCCAGACAAUCUUGUCGACCUCUUCACGACAUCACUGCCGAAGUCAACCUUCCAGAAGCUUGUUCGAGGAAUUUGUAUGCCUAAUUAUUCAUAUGCAAUGCUUGUAGUUCUCAUUUAGAAGUUCUGUCAAACUCAGGGGGAGUAUCCAAAAGUAUACUCACUUGAUAUUAAUGUACUCUUUUUCCUUAUGAUUAUGAGCAUUUUUUCCACUGGAUUUUUGCUACCUAACUAGGUUUUGACGAGGCACCUAUCCUAGGCUGAUCAUACCUUUGUGAGCUCUUCUACUUGCGUUUAGAAGACGUAUAAUUUUGACUUAAUGCAACUUCUCACUUUUUUCCUUA